GUGGGGAAUAUUGGACAAUGGGCGAAAGCCUGAUCCAGCCAUGCCGCGUGUGUGAAGAAGGUCUUCGGAUUGUAAAGCACUUUAAGUUGGGAGGAAGGGCAGUAAGUUAAUACCUUGCUGUUUUGACGUUACCGACAGAAUAAGCACCGGCUAACUUCGUGCCAGCAGCCGCGGUAAUACGAAGGGUGCAAGCGUUAAUCGGAAUUACUGGGCGUAAAGCGCGCGUAGGUGGUUUUGUAAGUUGGAGGUGAAAUCCCCGGGCUCAACCUGGGAACUGACUCCAAAACUACUGAGCUAGAGUACGGUAGAGGGUAGUGGAAUUUCCUGUGUAGCGGUGAAAUGCGUAGAUAUAGGAAGGAACACCAGUGGCGAAGGCGACUACCUGGACUGAUACUGACACUGAGGUGCGAAAGCGUGGGGAGCAAACAGGAUUAGAUACCCCAGUAGUCC
rnacentral:rRNA from 1 species